UUCGGGACAACUCUGGGAAACUGGAGCUAAUACCGGAUACGCCCUUUUGGGGAAAGGCUUACUGCCGAAGGAUCGGCCCGCGUCUGAUUAGCUAGUUGGUGGGGUAACGGCCUACCAAGGCGACGAUCAGUAGCUGGUCUGAGAGGAUGAUCAGCCACACUGGGACUGAGACACGGCCCAGACUCCUACGGGAGGCAGCAGUGGGGAAUAUUGGACAAUGGGCGCAAGCCUGAUCCAGCCGUGCCGCGUGAGUGAUGAAGGCCUUAGGGUUGUAAAGCUCUUUUAUCCGGGACGAUAAUGACGGUACCGGAGGAAUAAGCCCCGGCUAACUUCGUGCCAGCAGCCGCGGUAAUACGAAGGGGGCUAGCGUUGCUCGGAAUCACUGGGCGUAAAGGGCGCGUAGGCGGCGUUUUAAGUCGGGGGUGAAAGCCUGUGGCUCAACCACAGAAUGGCCUUCGAUACUGGGACGCUUGAGUCUGGUAGAGGUUGGUGGAACUGCGAGUGUAG
rnacentral:rRNA from 1 species